rnacentral:rRNA from 1 species
GAUGAACGCUGGCGGCGUGCCUAAUACAUGCAAGUCGAGCGAACAGAUGAGGAGCUUGCUCCUCUGACGUUAGCGGCGGACGGGUGAGUAACACGUGGAUAACCUACCUAUAAGACUGGGAUAAUUUCGGGAAACCGGAGCUAAUACCGGAUAAUAUAUUGAACCGCAUGGUUCAAUAGUGAAAGACGGUUUUGCUGUCACUUAUAGAUGGAUCCGCGCCGCAUUAGCUAGUUGGUAAGGUAACGGCUUACCAAGGCAACGAUGCGUAGCCGACCUGAGAGGGUGAUCGGCCACACUGGAACUGAGAUACGGUCCAGACUCCUACGGGAGGCAGCAGUAGGGAAUCUUCCGCAAUGGGCGAAAGCCUGACGGAGCAACGCCGCGUGAGUGAUGAAGGUCUUCGGAUCGUAAAACUCUGUUAUUGGGGAAGAACAAAUGUGUAAGUAACUAUGCACGUCUUGACGGUACCUAAUCAGAAAGCCACGGCUAACUACGUG